rnacentral:sRNA from 1 species
GUGUUACCAAGAGUUCCCUUGACCACUUCAUUGGGAAAUAGUCUCUUUUGUAACUAUAAAUCCUACUGAAGUGUUUGGGGGAACUCCUGGUUGCAUUUGAUUUACAAAGAACAAAAAUUAUCAGCUUCCUACAGUCCACCUCCACUUCCCGGGUUUGAUUUCCCAACUUCCCAUCGCAAUGUACUUGGUCUAUAUGAACCAGCUGUUAUAAAGGAAGAAGAACAUUAUCAGGUGUCACCAAGAGUUCCCUUGACCACUUCAUUGGGAAAUAGUCUAUUUUGCAACUAUAUAUCCUACUGAAGUGUUUGGGGGAACUCCUGUCGACAUUUGAUUUUAAAAAGAAUGAAAAGGGUAAUCAGCCUCCUACAGUCCAACCUUCACGUCCCAGGUUUGAGUCCCCAUCACAAUGUACUUUUUCUAUGAAGCUGUUAUAAAGGAAGAAGAAAAUUAGCAGGUGUCACCAAGAGUUCCCUUGACCACUUCAUUGGGAAAUUGCCGUUUUUGCAACUAUAUAUCCUGCGGAAGUGUUUGGGAGAACUCCUGUUGGCAU